UGAUGAUGAUGAUGAUGAUGAUGAUGAUGAUGAUGAUGAUGAUUCUUGUUAUUCUUGGUAAUGUUAUUAGUAGCAUCAUCAUCAUCACCAUCAUCAUCAUGAUCAUGU
rnacentral:pre_miRNA from 1 species